rnacentral:lncRNA from 1 species
UUUAGAAAUUAGUUCUCCUCAUGCCUCUAGUGAUAAACACCGCUGCUGCUGUUUUCUUACCUCCUGAACUUAGAGAUCCCACUCUAUUGCCCCAAGAGUCGAUAACCUGUCAGUCUGGGGACUGGCCACUGGAAUUGUUAAAGUCACUGAAUCAUGGCCCCUCCCAUCCCUGUAAAGUGGGUUAAGAGUUCAUGAUAAGGCAGCUAAUAUCCAUUUCAAUCCUUUUAAGCUUCUAGAACAACAGUAAUUCUCAAAGUGAUAGGGGCAGUGGAGAAUCAGAGUCCUCUGGGAAGCUACUCCAAAAUACCUCCGCCAGCCACCCCUCCAAUCCAAUGGCUCUCAGUAUUGUAUUUGAAAAAUAAGCUUCCUAGGUAAUUCUGAUGCGACCCAGUGGGUCGCAUCAGAAAACACAAGAUUUUUUCUACCCUAGAAAAGGGGCAAGCUAAUAAGUGCAUUUAAAAGCAGAUCAGCUGGGUGGAGUGGCUCACACCUGUAAUCCCAGCACUUUGGGAGGCCAAGGUGAGUGGAUCACUUGAAGUCAGGAGUUCGAGACCAGUCUGGCCAAGAUGGUGAAACCAUGUCUCUACUAAAAAUAUAAAAAUUAGCUGGGCGUGGUGGUGCACACCUGUAAUCCCAGCUACUCAGGAGGCUGAGGCACGAGAAUUGCUUGAACCCAAGAGGCAGUGGUUGCAGUGAGCAGAGAUCGUGCCACUGCACUCCAGCCUGGGUGACAGAGUAAGACACUGUCUCAAUAAUAAUAAAGCAGAUCAAACGGUUAAAUAUAACUCAGUUCCUGUCAAUCCCUUGUUUAAAACCCUCCCCAGCUCCCCAUUGCUCUUAGAUUGAAUGUCACACUCCCUCCUGUGACAUUUAAGGCUCUGCAGGACCUGGUCCCUGCUUACCUCCUUGGGUUCAUUUUAAAUCACUGCCUUUGGCUCUCCAAGCAUUGGCCCAGAUGGUCUCCUUGCAGUUUUUCAAACUACCCAUCCCCUUCCCAUCUCAGAGCCUCUCUGUUCUCUCACACCCUACUUCCCACCAAGUGAUUAUCACAGUACAUCAUUACUUAAGUGUGUGCUGAUUUACUGUCUGAUGUGGCUCACCCACUAAAAUAUAAACUCUACGAAGGCAGGAUCUUUUUCU